rnacentral:rRNA from 1 species
UUCCAUUGCACAACCUCCUUGUCAAAGCCUGAUCUUGUCACGUCUCAGAGGCUAAACAAGGCCAGGCCUGGUUAGAGUUUGAUGGGAGACCACUGGGAAUUCCAGGCGCCACAACGGGAC